GUGAGGAAUUUUCCGCAAUGGGCGAAAGCCUGAUCCAGCCAUGCCGCGUGAACGAUGAAGGCCUUCGGGUUGUAAAGUUCUUUAGCCGAUGAUUAUAAUGACUGUAGUCGGAAAAUAAGCCCCGGCUAACUUCGUGCCAGCAGCCGCAGUAAUACGAAGGGGGCGAGCGUUAUUCGGAAUCACUGGGCGUAAAGCGUGCGUAGGCGGUUUUGUAAGUUAGGAGUGAAAGCCCAGGGCUCAACCUUGGAAUUGCGCUUAAAAGUGCAAGGCUCGAAUCUCGGAGAGGAUAGCGGAAUUUCCAGAGUAGCAGUGAAAUGCGUAGAUAUUGGAAGGAACACCAGUGGCGUAAGCGGCUAUCUGGACGAGUAUUGACGCUGAGGCACGAAAGCGUGGGGAUCAAACAGGAUUAGAAACCCCGGUAGUCC
rnacentral:rRNA from 1 species